GAUGAACGCUGGCGGCGUGCUUAACACAUGCAAGUCGAACGGAAAGGCUCCUGCUUGCAGGGGUACUCGAGUGGCGAACGGGUGAGUAACACGUGGGUGAUCUGCCCUGCACUUCGGGAUAAGCCUGGGAAACUGGGUCUAAUACCGGAUAGGACGAUGGUUUGGAUGCCAUUGUGGAAAGUUUUUCGGUGUGGGAUGAGCUCGCGGCCUAUCAGCUUGUUGGUGGGGUAAUGGCCUACCAAGGCGUCGACGGGUAGCCGGCCUGAGAGGGUGUACGGCCACAUUGGGACUGAGAUACGGCCCAGACUCCUACGGGAGGCAGCAGUGGGGAAUAUUGCACAAUGGGCGCAAGCCUGAUGCAGCGACGCCGCGUGGGGGAUGACGGCCUUCGGGUGGUAAACUCCUUUCGCUAGGGACGAAGCGCAAGUGACGGUACCUGGAGAAGAAGCACCGGCUAACUACGU
rnacentral:rRNA from 1 species